rnacentral:rRNA from 1 species
CAAUAGCGUAUAUUUAAGUUGUUGCAGUUAAAAAGCUCGUAGUCGGAUUUUGGCUGAGAACGAUCGGUCCGCCGUUAGGUGUGCACUGAUUGGUCUCAGCUUCCUGGUGAGGAGGUGUGCUUCACGGCCACUUAGUCACCGUGGUUACUUUGAAAAAAUUAGAGUGUUCAAAGCGGGCUUACGCUUGAAUAUAUUAGCAUGGAAUAACACCAUAGGACUCCUGUCCUAUUUCGUUGGUCUCGGGACGGGAGUAAUGAUUAAGAGGAACAGUUGGGGGCAUUCGUAUUUCAUUGUCAGAGGUGAAAUUCUUGGAUUUACGGAAGACGAACAACUGCGAAAGCAUUUGCCAAGGAUGUUUUCAUUAA